rnacentral:rRNA from 1 species
AAGUACCUAGGGAGGCAGCAGUGGGGGAUAUUGCACAAUGGGGGGAACCCUGAUGCAGCGACGCCGCGUGGGUGAAGGAGCGUUUCGGCGCGUAAAGCCCUAUCGGCAGGGAAGAAGAUGACGGUACCUGACUAAGAAGCCCCGGCUAACUACGUGCCAGCAGCCGCGGUAAUACGUAGGGGGCAAGCGUUAUCCGGAUUUACUGGGUGUAAAGGGGGCGCAGACGGCAAUGCAAGCCAGGAGUGAAAGCCCGGGGCCCAACCCCGGGACUGCUCUUGGAACUGCAUGGCUGGAGUACAGGAGGG